rnacentral:rRNA from 1 species
CUGGUCGAGUGAUCCUGCGCCGAAGAUUUCCGGGGCUAAAACUUACUACCGAAGCUACGGCAUCAUUAUGAUGGGUAGGGGAGCUUCCCAUACGGGUUGACGCAUGACCGUAAGGACAUGUGGACAGCAUGGGAGUGAGAAUGUUGGCAUGAGUAGCGAGAUGUGGGUGAGAAUCCCACAGGCCGUAAACCCAAGGUUUCCAGGGGAAGGUUCGUCCGCCCUGGG